rnacentral:rRNA from 1 species
CCUACGGGAGGCAGCAGUGGGGAAUCUUGCGCAAUGGGCGAAAGCCUGACGCAGCAACGCCGCGUGCGGGAAGAAGGCUUUCGGGCUGUAAACCGCUUUCAGCAGGAACGAAAAUGACGGUACCUGCAGAAGAAGGAGCGGCCAACUAUGUGCCAGCAGCCGCGGUGAUACAUAGGCUUCAAGCGUUGUCCGGAUUUAUUGGGCGUAAAGAGUUCGUAGGCGGUCGAGUAAGUCGGGUGUGAAAAUUCUGGGCUCAACCCAGAGACGCCACCCGAUACUGCUUAACUUGAGUUCGAUAGGGGAGUGGGGAAUUCCUAGUGUAGCGGUGAAAUGCGCAGAUAUUAGGAGGAACACCGGUGGCGAAGGCGCCACUCUGGAUCGAUACUGACGCUGAGGAACGAAAGCAUGGGUAGCAAACAGGAUUAGAUACCCUGGUAGUCCAUGCCGUAAACGGUGGGCACUAGGUGUGGGAUUCUAUUAACGAAUUCCGCGCCGUCGCUAACGCAUUAAGUGCCCCGCCUGGGGAGUACGGUCGCGAGACGUAAACUACAANAGUAAGUUAGUACGGCGUUGUAGACGUUGCCGAACGGCGACGACGAGGGAGGUUAGG